GUGCGUUAUUAAGUACAUUAUCUGUACGCUUAGGGUACAAGCUGAAGCAGGUGCUUGAUUCAAGACAGCCAAACAAGACGACCAGCAGUUUGAAAGGAAAUGAAAAGUCUUCUGAUGGAAGUAAGUUAGGGAAUGGUCAUAUGCAGUCAAGCACUUACUAUUUUUCCCAAGAUGAUGAUGGCUGCUACAAUUGCAACACGGAAGCUGGAGGAUUAGGAAUUACAAAGCAGCAGUAUAAUGGGUCUGAGCCUGAAAUGGUGCUCCCUCUGGUGGCAGUUCCUGCCAUCGGAUUCAAUAAAGAGAAUGGUGGGGUUUGGUCAACCUCUCCUGACCGUCUUGAACUACCACAGAAACCAUUUCAUCGCUCUAACAGCUCUGAGUCACCAUGUGUCUCUGAAU
rnacentral:misc_RNA from 1 species